GUCCAGACUCCUACGGGAGGCAGCAGUGGGGAAUAUUGGGCAAUGGGCGCAAGCCUGACCCAGCAACGCCGCGUGAAGGAAGAAGGCUUUCGGGUUGUAAACUUCUUUUAAGAGGGACGAAACAAAUGACGGUACCUCUUGAAUAAGCCACGGCUAACUACGUGCCAGAAGCCGCGGUAAUACGUAGGGGGCAAGCGUUAUCCGGAUUUACUGGGUGUAAAGGGAGCGUAGACGGCGGUGCAAGCCAGAUGUGAAAGCCCGGGGCUCAACCCCGGGACUGCAUUUGGAACUGUGCUGCUAGAGUGUCGGAGAGGCAGGCGGAAUUCCUGGUGUAGCGGUGAAAUGCGUAGAUAUCAGGAGGAACACCGGUGGCGAAGGCGGCUUACUGGACUGUAACUGACGUUGAGGCUCGAAAGCGCGGGGAGCAAACAGGAUUAGAUACCCUCGUA
rnacentral:rRNA from 1 species